UUUUCGUUUUUUUCGUGUCCAACGUUUGACCAUUCGUUUUAUUUGAAAAAUUUCUGUAAAAACCUAAAAAAUUAGUUAUGAAUAAAGUACUAUUCAAAUUUUAUCAUCUAGUAAUAAUAAAAAUAUUAAUCACAAAAAUUUUAAAUAAGACGAAUAGUCAAAUAUUGGACAUGGAAAAACA
rfam:Oryza brachyantha chromosome 7, whole genome shotgun sequence.